GGCAGGCCUAACACAUGCAAGUCGAACGGUAACAGGAAGCAUCUUGCUGCUUUGCUGACGAGUGGCGGACGGGUGAGUAAUGUCUGGGAAACUGCCUGAUGGAGGGGGAUAACUACUGGAAACGGUAGCUAAUACCGCAUAACGUCGCAAGACCAAAGAGGGGGACCUUAGGGCCUCUUGCCAUCGGAUGUGCCCAGAUGGGAUUAGCUAGUAGGUGGGGUAACGGCUCACCUAGGCGACGAUCCCUAGCUGGUCUGAGAGGAUGACCAGCCACACUGGAACUGAGACACGGUCCAGACUCCUACGGGAGGCAGCAGUGGGGAAUAUUGCACAAUGGGCGCAAGCCUGAUGCAGCCAUGCCGCGUGUAUGAAGAAGGCCUUCGGGUUGUAAAGUACUUUCAGCGGGGAGGAAGGGAGUAAAGUUAAUACCUUUGCUCAUUGACGUUACCCGCAGAAGAAGCACCGGCUAACUCCGUGCCAGCAGCCGCGGUAAUACGGAGGGUGCAAGCGUUAAUCGGAAUUACUGGGCGUAAAGCGCACGCAGGCGGUUUGUUAAGUCAGAUGUGAAAUCCCCGGGCUCAACCUGGGAACUGCAUCUGAUACUGGCAAGCUUGAGUCUCGUAGAGGGGGGUAGAAUUCCAGGUGUAGCGGUGAAAUGCGUAGAGAUCUGGAGGAAUACCGGUGGCGAAGGCGGCCCCCUGGACGAAGACUGACGCUCAGGUGCGAAAGCGUGGGGAGCAAACAGGAUUAGAUACCCUGGUAGUCCACGCCGUAAACGAUGUCGACUUGGAGGUUGUGCCCUUGAGGCGUGGCUUCCGGAGCUAACGCGUUAAGUCGACCGCCUGGGGAGUACGGCCGCAAGGUUAAAACUCAAAUGAAUUGACGGGGGCCCGCACAAGCGGUGGAGCAUGUGGUUUAAUUCGAUGCAACGCGAAGAACCUUACCUGGUCUUGACAUCCACGGAAGUUUUCAGAGAUGAGAAUGUGCCUUCGGGAACCGUGAGACAGGUGCUGCAUGGCUGUCGUCAGCUCGUGUUGUGAAAUGUUGGGUUAAGUCCCGCAACGAGCGCAACCCUUAUCCUUUGUUGCCAGCGGUCCGGCCGGGAACUCAAAGGAGACUGCCAGUGAUAAACUGGAGGAAGGUGGGGACGACGUCAAGUCAUCAUGGCCCUUACGACCAGGGCUACACACGUGCUACAAUGGCGCAUACAAAGAGAAGCGACCUCGCGAGAGCAAGCGGACCUCAUAAAGUGCGUCGUAGUCCGGAUUGGAGUCUGCAACUCGACUCCAUGAAGUCGGAAUCGCUAGUAAUCGUGGAUCAGAAUGCCACGGUGAAUACGUUCCCGGGCCUUGUACACACCGCCCGUCACACCAUGGGAGUGGGUUGCAAAAGAAGUAGGUAGCUUAACCUUCGGGAGGGCGCUUACCACUUUGUGAUUCAUGACUGGG
rnacentral:rRNA from 1 species